rnacentral:rRNA from 1 species
UACGAAGGGGGGCUAGCGUUGCUCGGAAUUACUGGGCGUAAAGGGAGCGUAGGCGGAUAGUUCAGUCAGAGGUGAAAGCCCAGGGCUCAACCUUGGAAUUGCCUUUGAUACUGGCUGUCUUGAGUAUGGGAGAGGUUAGCGGAACUCCGAGUGUAGAGGUGAAAUUCGUAGAUAUUCGGAAGAACACCAGUGGCGAAGGCGGCUAACUGGCCCAUUACUGACGCUGAGGCUCGAAAGCGUGGGGAGCAAACAGG